rnacentral:rRNA from 1 species
UACGUAGGGACCAAGCGUUGUCCGGAAUCAUUGGGCGUAAAGAGCGUGUAGGCGGCCAGGUAGGUCCGUUGUGAAAACUCGAGGCUCAACCUCGAGACGCCGAUGGAAACCAUCUGGCUAGAGUCCGGAAGAGGAGAGUGGAAUUCCUGGUGUAGCGGUGAAAUGCGCAGAUAUCAGGAGGAACACCAGUGGCGAAGGCGCCGCUCUGGGCCGAGACUGACGCUGAGGAGCGAAAGCGUGGGUAGCAAACAGG